CAAGAUCUUGAAGUUAAGAGUGACUGACCAGAAUCAGAAUGGCGACCUGGCAAAUCUUAUUAAAAGAAUGGGACCAUGAAGACCUCAUUGAAACUUUCGAAGUAAAUGGAAUUGAUGAUAGAUUCUGGCUGUUGGAGAGCGAGGAAAUUAAAGAGCUUAUUCCAAAGAUGGGACCUAGGCUAAAAUUCAUCCAAAAAUUCUCUGUACAGUAACUGCUGCCAAAAAUAAUCAACAUGUCAUCUUUCAUCUGCUGCAAAUGUCUUUCUAAAAUUCCUGGAGGAAUUUCUGGGCUAUUUUGCCACCUGAAAGUAGUCUGGUAUACUAACAUCUACUUGCACAAAACUUGUUUGUGUAGAAUGUAAGGAAAUUUUGAGCCGUGGAUCAUCAUACAAAAGGCACCUCAUAGGGCAUUUGCAACCCCCUACAGUUCAGGCUGAUGACCAGUGCCAAGCUAAUAGAGUUCCUCAUAUUGACAUAUCUGACUUAUCUAAUGUAAGCAGUCAUGGGGAAUAAAGUGAUGAUGACUGGAAUCGUGUUGAAAUGAAUGCAGAUGCUGAUAUCGUUAAUGACACUGAAUAUGAUUCUCAAGAAAGCCUAUCAGACCUUGUAGCUGCUUUUUAGCUCAUUUACAAAGCAUUUUAAUUAUUGUUAACUUGGAGUA
rnacentral:lncRNA from 1 species